rnacentral:misc_RNA from 1 species
GAUGAAGAACGUAGCGAAAUGCGAUAAGUAGUGUGAAUUGCAGAAUUCAGUGAAUCAUCGAAUCUUUGAACGCACAUUGCGCCUUCUAGUAUUCUGGGAGGCAUGCCUGUUUGAGCGUCAUUAAACCUCUCUCAAGUAUGAUUACUUGGAUGUGAAGGAAGAGUACCUUAAACUUAAGGAGUGUUCUCCUUUGAAAUUGAUUAGCAGAUGGUAAUGUUAUUAAAUCCCUGAAGUUGUAAGAAAUAACAGUGGUUUUGUAGACUAUUAUCUAGCUUUAAAUUAUAAUUUUUAUUAUGGUUGACCUCAAAUCAGGUAAGGAUACCCGCUGAACUUAAGCAUAUCAAUAAGCGGAGGA